AGAGUUUGAUCAUGGCUCAGAAUCAACGCUGGCGGCGUGCCUCAGACAUGCAAGUCGAACGAUUAAAGCUCUCUUCGGAGAGUGCAUAGAGUGGCGCACGGGUGAGUAACACGUAAGUAAUCUACCUUCGAGUGGGAAUAACGUCCGGAAACGGACGCUAAUACCGCAUAAUGCAGCGGCAUCGUAAGAUGACAGUUGUUAAAGAUUUAUCGCUUGAAGAGGAGCUUGCGGCAGAUUAGCUAGUUGGUAAGGUAAUGGCUUACCAAGGCUACGAUCUGUAACCGGUCUUAGAGGACGGUCGGUCACACUGACACUGAAUAACGGGUCAGACUCCUACGGGAGGCAGCAGUCGGGAAUUUUGGGCAAUGGGCGAAAGCCUGACCCAGCAACGCCGCGUGAAGGAUGAAGUAUUUCGGUAUGUAAACUUCGAAAGAAUAGGAAGAAUAAAUGACGGUACUAUUUAUAAGGUCCGGCUAACUACGUG
rnacentral:rRNA from 1 species